UAAAAAUAAGUAAUAAAUAAAUAAGUUUUUCUUUGAACUUUUUAAAAUAACAAAUCAGUAUUGUUUAACAUCAAAAUAUACAAUUCUUAAGAGUAAGGCCCUUGGCCUUUAACUACCCAAAGACACACCCUAGUUGGUCAUAACUUUGGACGCUUGCGAGAACUCUCGCUAAGGCGCACCCAAGGUCCACAUCACUCUAAGCCUCCAACUGUAAGUCAUUAUCAUUAUCUGAUUUUCAAAUACGGAAAAAAGGUCAACUCCCAACAACAAUAAAUAUACAAGUUAUACAUAUAAUUAACAAAGUCAAGCAAAUAGUACAAUUAAUAAUAUAAACUACACAAAACGUCAAGACCCAAGACACUAGUGGACUCGACAAAUGAGCGACACCUUAAAGUUGACCUAUAUGCGACACAAAUGAUCCGGAUAUCACCUCCCUUAAAGGGCAACAAAAGUUCUUCGUAGAUAUUUGUGAGCUUCAACCAAUUAUGAACACUCCACCGUAGCUCCAACCA
rnacentral:lncRNA from 1 species